rnacentral:misc_RNA from 1 species
UAGAAUUUCUCCUCUUUGUGGCUGUCUAGAGCUUCCUUAGGAUGUGUAGAUUAAUUUUAGUGAAGGUAACUUAGGAUUUUAUGGUUGGAUGUUGGAAGAUUUCAAGCUCAAUUUGAGCAACAAUGGAGGGAGGAAGAAUGGGCAAGGGUUACGGCUGCAUGAGGAAGAAGGCUGCUGUGUUUUUUCUUUAUUUUUUUGGUCUUCAUUUAUCUUUUUUAUUAGUUAAUGAAUUGGUUGUUUGAAGGUGAUUGGUUAUGGCUUUU